GACGAACGCUGGCGGCGUGCUUAACACAUGCAAGUCGAACGAUGAAGAAAAGAAUUGAAGCUUCGGCAGAAAUUCAUUUCGGAUUAGUGGCAGACGGGAGAGUCACGCGUGAGCAACCUACUACUUACAAAGAGAUAGCCUCGGGAAACCGGGAUUUAUACCAUAUAACAUUGCAAUGGAGCAAUUCGGUGCAAUCAAAGCUACUGUGGUAAGAGAUGGGCGCGCGUCCCAUUAACAGGAUGGUGGGGUAACGGCCCAACAGAGGGACGAUGGGUAACCGGGCUGAGAGGGUGAACGGUCACACUGGCACUGAGACACGGUCCAGACUCCUACGGGAGGCAGCAGUGGGGAAUAUUGCACAAUGGAGGGAACUCUGAUGCAGCGACGCCGCGUGAGUGAUGAAGGAAUUCGUGUCGUAAAGCUCUGUUCUAUGGGAAGAUAAGGACGGUACCAUAGGAGAAAGCCCCGGCUAAAUACGUG
rnacentral:rRNA from 1 species